UGCUCAAGAAUGAUAUUGACUUAUAAUUUUCUUCUCCUCUUUCAUUGUCAUCAAAGUUUGAUAUCAGGCUUUUGGCUUUUGCUGGACUCCUAAGAUGUGUUGGGAAGAGCUGUGUCUUUCUUCUCUGAGACAGUGUGGUAAGUUUCAUCUUGUUUCUCCCUCAAAUGUUCAGUAGAAUUUACCAUUGAAGUUCUUUGAGCCUGGAGUUUUCUAUGUGAAAAGGCCUUUAUUUACAGAGGCAAUUUUAAAAAGUGAUGGAGGGCUAUUUACAUGUUCUAUUUAUUUUGUGUCAGUUCUAGUUUUAUAUUCUAUGGAGUUUAUCUGUUUUGUCUAAGUUAUUAAAUUUCAAGCACAGUGAGGUUCACAGUAGUACAUACCCCCUCAAUGUACAAUGUCUUUUUUUUCCCUCAUUCCUGAUACUAAUAUUUCAUGUUUACUUUUCGUUCGUCUUUGCUCAAUGGUAGGUGUUACAGUUUUCUAUUCAUGCAUAGCACAUUGCCCCCAAAAUUUAGUAACAUAAAACAAUAGUGAUUAUUUCACUUUCCCAUAGGUUGGCUGGUUACUUCCUCGUCUGGUUCCACCUGGGUCCCCCACAUGGCUGUCUUCAGCAGGAGGGCCUGCAGGACUGGACAUGGGCAUUAGCCUCACUCACAUCUUCAGCACACGACACCAGCUCUCCACGGAGGACCCCUCCAUUCUCAGUCACAUGGCCGCUCCUUCUCCUGCGGAAACAAAAAUGCAGCCAAAGGAACCCGAUUGUCAUUGACGGAAGAAAAAGGUAUUCACAAGUUUCUUUAUGUUUUGAAUAAUUGUUUCCUGUUUUGCUCAGCAGAACAAGUAAUUAAGAUGACAUUUGUGAGUACUAAUUUGGAUCACACUUAUGUGUAUGUGUUACAGAGCUGCAAGCCAAAACAUGCAAAACCAGCCUCUCAUUGAGGAGAAAGUGAAAAAUCCAGAAUGAGCUGGAAGGGGAGGGCCGAGAACUCCCAGGAGCCCUUGUGUGAAUCAGAAGCUCUCCUUAGCCUGGUGCCUCUGCCCACAGCCCCGUGCCGCCCACAGGAGCCACCACCCUGCACCUGGGCCGGGUGAUGGCAUCCCCGUCAGACCUCAGCCGCUCUACCGUCUGGGCUCCUGGCCUCUGCCCACCUGCCUGAGCCUGAAGCUGGUUCUCGGAUCAGCGUGCCCAUCUAGCGUAGCCUGAGCCCUUGCUCCCUCCCUGCCAAGCCCUCCAGUUUGGAAGCAGAGGCAGGAGGGCCAGGGCGGGGGGGGGGGUGGGGGAUCUUGUGGUUGGUUAACUGCAGGGUGCUGCUGUGGCCUCUGUCACACAGUCCCCGACAGACAUGGAGUGCAACAUACGUACAGAUGGCCCCUCUGGGGACUGAGCCGUCUCAGGAACGGUAAGAAUUUCUCUAUGCAGGUUAGAGGGCGGUCUGAGGACCGAGA
rnacentral:lncRNA from 1 species